UUCAUGAUAUGGUACUGUUAUGACUAUUAAUUGCUUACGAUGAAAAUGUGAGGCUAGUCGCAUUCCUGGGGACUAGCUCAGCAUGAGUAACGGGUUUUGAUCGCUUGAAAUAAUCGGAGAUAGCGGUUUGGAUCGAGUCACUGGGGUAUGCUUUUAGUCGCUACCUUCGAGUGGUUGAUGGGCAUAUGACGGAGUAGACUGGCAAACUAUCUUACGGUUAUGUCUUGCGCUCACUACUCGGCAUUCCGAUUAUUAUAACAGAAGGUUGUCAACCGUGAUCAUGGACACAUUGAGGACGAGUGGCUAUUUAUGCGUGUGUGGAUCUCACUCCUCCAAUAGUAUGUGAUGGUCACGUUGGACAAUGGAUGUUAUAAUACUUGGGGUGUCCACAACAUCUUCGGUUGCGAAACUCUCGAGCGUGGAGGGUACACUGGGUGUCCACAGAAUCUAUCUCCAAACUUCCGGGCCCAAUCGGACUCCACUCCCUAUCCGAUUCAAACUCUAUCCACUGGAUUCGUAUUGUCUUCAACCUUUUCUCCUAGCCGAUUAUGUUUCCUCUUGUCCGAUUCAGUCUUUAAUCAUGCAUUAAUCCAUAACGGCAAUUUGCCAAAAUCUAGCAUUAACAGAAACACAGACCAAGGAGUAUGACAUGCGUGUGAGUCGACGGGUUCUGAAACCUGGGAUGCACAAGAAAGCUGACGAGCGGGAGGCCCUCACGGGCCGCACCGCUAGCCGACCCCGAUCUUCUGUGAAGGGUUCGAGUUGGAGCACACCUGUCGGGACCCGAAAGAUGGUGAACUAUGCCUGAGCAGGGUGAAGCCAGAGGAAACUCUGGUGGAGGCUCGAAGCGAUACUGACGUGCAAAUCGUUUGUCUGACUUGGGUAUAGGGGCAAAAGACUAAUCGAACCAUCUAGUAGUUGGUUCCCUCCGAAGUUUCCCUGAGGAUAGCUGGAGCCCAUGACGAGUUCUAUCGGGUAAAGCCAAUGAUUAGAGGCAUCGGGGGCGCAACGCCCUCGACCUAUUCUCAAACUUUAAAUAGGUAGGACGGCGCGAUUGCUCCAGUGAGCCACGCCAUGGAAUCAGGAGCUCCAAGUGGGCCAUUUUUGGUAAGCAGAACUGGCGAUGCGGGAUGAACCGGAAGCCGGGUUACGGUGCCAAACUGCGCGCUAACCUAGAACCCCACAAAGGGUGUUGGUCAAUUAAGACAACAUGACGGUGGUCAUGGAAGUCAAAAUCCGCUAAGGAGUAGUGUAACAACUAAUCUGCUGAAUCAACUAGCCCCGAAAAUGCCUCGUCAUCUAAUUAGUGAUGCACAUGAAUGGGUUAGCGAGAUUCCCACUGUCCCUGUCUACUAUCCAGCGAAACCACAAUCAAGGGAACAUGCUUGGCGGAAUCAGCGGGGAAAGAAGACCCUGUUUAGCUUGACUCUAGUCGGACUUUGUGAAAUGACUUGAGAGGUGUAGGAUAAGUGGGAGACCUCGGGCGCAAGUGAAAUACCACUACUUUUAACAUUAUUUUACUUAUUCCGUGGGUCAUAAGUGGGACCCGACCCCUUGUUUUGGCUCUAAGGCCCAUCUGUUAAAAGAUAACACAUGUGUCCUAAUAUGAGCUCAAUGAGAACAGAAAUCGCGUGUGGAACAAAAGGGUAAAAGCUUGUGAAGAAGAAUUCACCAAGUGUUGUGUGGGAUACCUAUACUAGGGGUAUCC
rnacentral:rRNA from 1 species